UAUAGAGCGGAGGAGUUCUUCUGGUGGAUGAGGUUUUCCUAUCCGUCCGUAUUAGUGUCCGUUCGGGUAAACCAGGGAAACUACCUUCAUAAUAUUGAAAGAAUCCAAGGACUCAAAUACCGAAACAUAUUUACGGUUACAGGCCAGAGCACUAACCUAUUAUGCGCGCACGCUUGGAUAUAAUGGGAGCUUCAGGCGAAAUGGCGACGAAAAGCAAUGGUGGACCGUUCGUCUUGUCGUACAGGUAAAAUCUAUCACUUAUUCGAAAAACCAAAAAACUAA